rfam:Gossypium hirsutum cultivar TM-1 chromosome 22, whole genome shotgun sequence
CACGUCAACGCGAGUUGCUGACGUGGCAGCAAAUCGCGUCCUUGAGGGCACGAUUUGUUGCCACGUCAGCAACUCGCGCUGACUUGG